GUAAAGGUGUUAAUAGCGCCUUUAUUUGACGAAGGCUCCAGAGGAAGCCACGGCUAACUCUGUGCCAGCAGCCGCGGUAAUACAGAGGUGGCAAGCGUUGUUCGGAAUUAUUGGGCGUAAAGAGCACGUAGGCGGUCCUGCAAGUCUGUUGUGAAAUCCUUCCGCUUAACGGGAGAACGGCAGCUGAUACUACAGGACUAGAGUACGGGAGGGGAGAGUGGAAC
rnacentral:rRNA from 1 species